AUUAAUUUCAGAUUAACUUUUAAUGAAAGAUUGAAUAAAAUAGACGAAACAUUAAUCUUGAUCAAAUGUUAUGCAGAGGGCCACGUGGAAAUUGAAGUUCUGUCAACCCCUUGUUUUGAGAGGUUUUAAAACACCGCACUGUAGAAAGUGGCGUGACUGAGGAAAUUCGAGUCACAACUUUCACUCGUUAAUAUCAUAUUAAUCGAACAUAUUACGAUUCAAAAUGGAAUUUUGCUUGUUAUGUAACAAAUAAAUGUACAUCAGCGUGGUAA